CUACGGGAGGCAGCAGUGGGGAAUAUUGCGCAAUGGGGGAAACCCUGACGCAGCAACGCCGCGUGAAGGAAGAAGGCCUUCGGGUUGUAAACUUCUUUGAUUAGGGACGAAUAAAUGACGGUACCUAAGGAACAAGCCACGGCUAACUACGUGCCAGCAGCCGCGGUAAUACGUAGGUGGCAAGCGUUGUCCGGAAUUACUGGGUGUAAAGGGCGUGUAGGCGGGAAUGCAAGUCAGAUGUGAAAUUCCGGGGCUCAACCCCGGCACUGCAUCUGAAACUGUGUUUCUUGAGUAUCGGAGAGGAAAGCGGAAUUCCCAGUGUAGCGGUGAAAUGCGUAGAGAUUGGGAGGAACACCAGUGGCGAAGGCGGCUUUCUGGACGAUAACUGACGCUGAGGCGCGAAAGCGUGGGGAGCAAACAGGAUUAGAUACCCCGGUAGC
rnacentral:rRNA from 1 species